rnacentral:rRNA from 1 species
UACAGAGGGGGCUAGCGUUGUUCGGAAUCACUGGGUGUAAAGGGUGCGUAGGCUGUCCGUUAAGUCUGAUGUGAAAGCCCUGGGCUCAACUCAGGAAUUGCAUUGGAAACUGGCGGACUCAGAGUACCGGAGAGGGAAGCGGAAUUCCUGGUGUAGCGGUGAAAUGCGUAGAUAUCGGAAGGAACACCAGUGGCGAAAGCGGCUUCCUGGUCCAGCAUCGACGUUCAGGCACGAAAGCGUGGGGAGCAAACAGG